AUACUCCGAGAACUGAAAGGCUUUUUGAAGUCUUCGGAUGGAUAGAAGAACCCCUGAUGCUGUCGAGCCAAGAAAAGUUUCUAAGUUUAGCUAAUGUUGCCCGUACCGUAAACCGACACAGGUGGGUGGGAUGAGUAUUCUAAGGCGCGUGGAAGAACUCUCUUUAAGGAACUCUGCAAAAUAGCACCGUAUCUUCGGUAUAAGGUGUGGUUCGCUUCGUAUUAGGAUUUACUCCGAAAGCGAAGAAACUUACAACAAAGAGUCCCUCCCGACUGUUUACCAAAAACACAGCACUCUGCUAACUCGUAAGAGGAUGUAUAGGGUGUGACGCCUGCCCGGUGCUCGAAGGUUAAUUGAUGGGGUUAGCAUUAGCGAAGCUCUUGAUCGAAGCCCGAGUAAACGGCGGCCGUAACUAUAACGGUCCUAAGGUAGCGAAAUUCCUUGUCGGUUAAAUACCGACCUGCAUGAAUGGCGUAACGAGAUGGGAGCUGUCUCAAAGAGGGAUCCAGUGAAAUUGUAGUGGAGGUGAAAAUUCCUCCUACCCGCGGCAAGACGGAAAGACCCCGUGGACCUUUACUACAGCUUGACACUGCUACUUGGAUAAGAAUGUGCAGGAUAGGUGGGAGGCUUUGAGUAUAUGACGCCAGUUGUAUAUGAGCCAUUGUUGAGAUACCACUCUUUCUUAUUUGGGUAGCUAACCAGCUUGAGUUAUCCUCAAGUGGGACAAUGUCUGGUGGGUAGUUUGACUGGGGCGGUCGCCUCCCAAAUAAUAACGGAGGCUUACAAAGGUUGGCUCAGAACGGUUGGAAAUCGUUCGUAGAGUAUAAAGGUAUAAGCCAGCUUAACUGCAAGACAUACAAGUCAAGCAGAGACGAAAGUCGGUCUUAGUGAUCCGGUGGUUCUGUGUGGAAGGGCCAUCGCUCAAAGGAUAAAAGGUACCCCGGGGAUAACAGGCUGAUCUCCCCCAAGAGCUCACAUCGACGGGGAGGUUUGGCACCUCGAUGUCGGCUCAUCGCAUCCUGGGGCUGGAGCAGGUCCCAAGGGUAUGGCUGUUCGCCAUUUAAAGCGGUACGCGAGCUGGGUUCAGAACGUCGUGAGACAGUUCGGUCCCUAUCUGCCGUGGGCGUAAGAAGAUUGAAGAGAUUUGACCCUAGUACGAGAGGACCGGGUUGAACAAACCACUGGUGUAGCUGUUGUUCUGCCAAGAGCAUCGCAGCGUAGCUAAGUUUGGAAAGGAUAAACGCUGAAAGCAUCUAAGCGUGAAGCCAACUCUAAGAUGAAUCUUCUCUAAGCUCUCUAGAAGACUACUAGUUUGAUAGGCUGGGUGUGUAAUGGAUGAAAGUCCUUUAGCUGACCAGUACUAAUAGAGCGUUUGGCUUAUCUUUAAUAAAGCAU
rnacentral:rRNA from 1 species